AGGAUGAACGCUGGCGGCAUGCUUAACCCAUGCAAGUCGUACGACGGUGUUUUAUGCUGCAUAAAAACAUACGGAGUGGCGGACGGGUGAGUAACACGUAAGAACCUACCUUUGGAGAGGGAUAACCACUGGAAACGGUGGCUAAUACCUCAUAUUGCUGAGAAGUGAAAUGAUUCAAAGUCGCCAAGAGAUGGGCUUGCGGCUGAUUAGCUAGUUGGUGGGGUAAAGGCCUACCAAGGCAAUGAUCAGUAGCUGGUCUGAGAGGAUGAUCAGCCACACUGGGACUGAGACACGGCCCAGACUCCUACGGGAGGCAGCAGUGAGGAAUUUUCCGCAAUGGGCGAAAGCCUGACGGAGCAAUGCCCGCGUGAAGGAUGAAGGCCUGUGGGUUGUAAACUUCUUUUCUCAGAGAAGAACUCAUGACGGUAUCUGAGGAAUAAGCAUCGGCUAACUCUGUGCCAGCCGCAGC
rnacentral:rRNA from 1 species